CACGGGAGCUGUCAGCAUUAGAUUCCGGGUGCAGAUUGCAGAACGACGGUGGUGGCGCGCGACUGCGGAAGCGGAUUGCACAGGAGUUAAGGCGCUCGGAUGAUGUAAACAAACUUUGGGCGCGGGAUUGAUGGAGUGAUAAGUGAAGUUACAUUUGUCUUUGGCUUUGACCUUUGAGUGAUGUUUGUUUACUAAAUUGGGUGCGGCCUAGGAACUGGAAAUUUCGACCUGGCGUUAGGUGAUUUCUCCUCAGCAGUUGCAUCAGCCUUGCUGAAUUUUAGGCUUUUCCACUAUUUACCCACCAGGACCAGUUCAUGGAUUGACAUCUAGUCCCAGUUCAUGAUAAGAUCACGUUUUUUUAAAGCUGAUGGAAAGCUCAUCUCAAGUUCUUUGGAUCCAUUGUUCUCUCUGAUCUGAUAUUGCACGGAAGAAUGUUGGGUCAUCUUUUGCCUCGUGUGUUUUUAUUCAUUCAUGUCAGUUUUCAAAAACUGUUAGACAAUCAGAUCAAAUUUUGUUUGCUAUCCAUGACCAAGAAAAUGUUCUGUCAUUCGCAGUGAGAAGAUGGCUUUUUUGAGUUACGGUACCUAAUUAGUGAUUGAGGCUUUCCAAGAAACAAGACCUAUCUGCUGGUAAGUAAAAUUUUCUAUAGCUUUGAUUCCCAGUCCGC